rnacentral:misc_RNA from 1 species
AACGCACAUUGCACCCGGUGGUAUUCUGCCGGGUAUGCCUGUUCGAGCGUCAUUUCUGCCCUCAGGCCUUGCCGCUGUUGGCGGCGUAGGUACUGGUGUUGGGAGCUUACAGUGCUGAUCCUUCAGCGCUGUAAUCCCUAAUUUCAUCGGCGUACGCGCGUACGUUGCCCCCUGCGUAGUGGUUUUUCUUUCUCGCAUCGGGCCGUGCCGCAGUGCCGCCGCAAAACUUGACAACGUCAAAAACGAGUUUGACCUCGAAUCAGGUAGGGUUACCCGCUGAACUUAA